UCUUAAAAGCUUUAUAUUUUAAAAGCUAGAAGACCUGGAUGCUUCAUACUUUGUAUAUAGAUGCCUUAUGUUACGAAGUUUCUGUCUGUCAUAUGUCCAAUGUCCUUGACCUCAUUUUCAUGGUUCAGUGACUACUUGAAAAAAAAGUCAAUAUUUUUUGUAAUGUUAAUUUCUUUCUUAUUAUGAGUAAUAGGAUAACUAUAUUUAGUAUGUGCGUACCUUGCAAGGUCCUCAUGCCCAUCAGACAAUUUUCAUUUGACCUCGACCUCAUUUCAUGGAUCAGUGAACCAGGUUAAGUUUUCGUGGUCAAGUCCAUAUAUCAGAUACUAUAAGCAGUAGGUCUACUAUAUUUGGUAUAUGGAAUGAUUGUAAGGUGUACAUGUCCAACUGGUAGGUGUCAUGUGACCUUGACCUCAUUUUCAUGGUUCAGUGGUCAAAGUUAAGUUUUUGAGUUUUGGUCUUUUUUUCUAAUACUGUAUGCAAUAGGUCAACUAUAAAUGGCGUAUGGAAUGAUUGUAAGGUGUACAUGUCUAGCUGGCAGGUGUCAUCUGACCUUGACCUCAUUUUCAUGGUUCAGUGGUCAAAGUUAAGUUUUUGAGUUUUGGUCUUUUUUUCUAAUACUAUAUGCAAUAGUUCAACUAUAUUUGGUGUAUGGAAAUAUUUUAUGAUCUAGAUGUCAGUCAUGCAGGUUUUAUUUGACCUUGACCUCAUUUUCAAGGUUCAUUGCUCAGUGUUAAUUUUUUGUGUUUUGGUCUGUUUUUCUUAAACUAUAAGCAAUAGGUCAACUAUAUUUGUUGUAUGGAAGAAUUGUUAGCUAUACAUGCCUGCCUAGCAUGGUUCAUCUGACCUUGACCUCAUUUUCA